AGCGAACGCUGGCGGCAGGCCUAACACAUGCAAGUCGAGCGCCCAGCAAUGGGAGCGGCAGACGGGAUAGUAACACGUGGGAACGUACCUUUCAGUUCGGAACAACCCAGGGAAACUUGGGCUAAUACCGAAUACGUCCGUAAGGAGAAAGAUUUAUCGCUGAAAGAUCGGCCCGCGUCUGAUUAGCCAGUUGGUGAGGUAAUGGCUCACCAAGGCGGCGAUCAGUAGCNGGUCUGAGAGGAUGAUCAGCAUCACUGGGACUGAGACACGGCCCAGACUCCUACGGGAGGCAGCAGUGGGGAAUAUUGGACAAUGGGCGCAAGCCUGAUCCAGCCAUGCCGCGUGGAUGAUGAAGGCCUUAGGGUUGUAAAGUCCUUUCGGCGGGGAAGAUAAUGACGGUACCCGCAGAAGAAGCCCCGGCUAACUUCGUGCCAGCCGCCGCCGU
rnacentral:rRNA from 1 species